UACGUAGGGGCAAGCGUUGGUCCGGAAUCAUUGGGCGUAAAGCGCGUGUAGGCGGUCCGGUAAGUCCGCUGUAAAAGUCGGGGGCUCAACCCUCGGAUGCCGGUGGAUACUGUCGGGCUUGAGUACGGAAGAGGCGAGUGGAAUUCCUGGUGUAGCGGUGAAAUGCGCAGAUAUCAGGAGGAACACCGGUGGCGAAGGCGGAUCUCUGGGCCGAUACUGACGCUGAGGAGCGAAGCGUGGGGAGCGAACAGG
rnacentral:rRNA from 1 species